rnacentral:misc_RNA from 1 species
CAUCCCCUUGCAGUUGUUUGUAAAUUUAGGAAUACGGUUGAUUAUUUGUGAUUAUAUAUUAAAAGAGAUUGCUAAAUUUACAAACAACUGCAAGGGGAUGAAGAAUCCAUCAGAAAAGAGUAGAGGCCUAAGCAACUUUCAAAUCAGUGAGGGAAAAAUUACAACAUAUCAGGAACAAAACUUCUACAAACGAGCUGAAGCAAAACUAAAAUAUCUUAUUGUACUGGCUAGU